rnacentral:rRNA from 1 species
UUUUGGGGAAUUUUUCGCAAUGGGCGAAAGCCUGACGGAGCAAGACCGCGUGAGGGAGGAAGGCUCUUGGGUUGUAAACCUCUUUUCUCAAGGAAGAAAUAUGACGGUACUUGAGGAAUCAGCAUCGGCUAACUCCGUGCCAGCAGCCGCGGUAAUACGGAGGAUGCAAGCGUUAUCCGGAAUGAUUGGGCGUAAAGCGUCCGCAGGUGGUUUAUCAAGUCGGUUGUCAAAGCGUCUGGCUUAACCAGAUAAAGGCAAUGGAAACUGAGAGACUAGAGUGCGGUAGGGGCAGAGGGAAUUCCUGGUGUAGCGGUGAAAUGCGUAGAGAUCAGGAAGAACACCGGUGGCGAAAGCGCUCUGCUAGACCUGCACUGACACGAAGGACCAAAAGGUA